rnacentral:rRNA from 1 species
GAUGAACGCUGGCGGUAUGCUUAACACAUGCAAGUCGAACGGACUCUUCGGAGUUAGUGUCUGACGGGUGAUUACCGAGUGAGAAUCUUGCUUUGGGUUCCGUACACCCACUCGAGACGGUGGCUAAUACCAGGUGUGCCAAGAGGUCAUAGGGAAAUUGCUUGAAGCUAAGCUCGCGUCUGAUUAGCUAUUUGUUGAGGUAAAGGCUCACCAAGGCGGCGAUCAGUCGCUGUUCUGAGAGGAUGACCAGCCACACCGGGACUGAGACACGGCCCAGAGACCUACGGGAGGUAGCAGGGGGGAAUUUCCCGCAAUGGGCGAAAGGUUGAGGAAGCAAUACGGUGUGAGAGAAGAAGGCUAUGAGGAGGUAAACCGCUAGACUUAGGGAUGAACAAAAUGACGGUACCUAAGGAGUAAGCAACGGCUAACUACGUG